UCUUUAUGAUGAAUAAGUUUGGUGAAUUUGGAAUAAAUUUUAUUGAGCUUAGAAAUUAUUUUGUUGGGGUGACAGGAAGAUAACAAUAACUCUUCUUUAUCAGAAACAUAAGUUUAUGGGUGGUUGAUCCGUUAAACGAUUAUAAGACUAAGU
rnacentral:rRNA from 1 species